UCUGAAUCAUUUGAGUCUCUGUUUUUGGUAGGCUACAUCCUGAACUCUUCCUUGGCCCGGGACGCAGGGAGGGACGCAUCAAGGCCCCGCUGGUGGUCACUUUGGGCACAACCUUGCCUAACAUAGACUGAACCUGUGUAGUUUUCUCCAGUCCUCUGUGUGUUUGUACCUGUGGUAUUUGAAGGGGCGGUGUAAACAGUGCCAGCAGCAGCCAUGAUGGAUGCGGCGGAGUGCGGGGUGAGGGUGAUGUGCCGCUUCAGGCCCCUGAACGAGUCCGAAAUAAACAGAGGGGACAAAUACAUCCCCAAAUUCAAAGAAGACGACACGGUGGUGAUAACGAGUAAACCCUACGUGUUCGACCGCGUGCUGCCCCCCAACACGUCCCAGGAACAGGUGUACGACCAGUGUGCCAAACAGAUAGUUAAAGAUGUGCUGGGCGGCUACAACGGGACCAUCUUCGCUUACGGACAGACGUCCUCCGGAAAGACACACACCAUGGAGGGCAAACUGCACGACCCCCAGUUGAUGGGAAUCAUCCCUCGCAUCGCUCAAGACAUCUUUGAUCACAUCUACUCCAUGGACGAGAACCUCGAGUUUCAUAUCAAGGUUUCCUAUUUUGAAAUCUACUUGGACAAGAUCAGAGACCUCCUGGAUGUGUCGAAGACGAAUCUCGCUGUGCACGAAGACAAAAACAGAGUGCCCUAUGUCAAGGGUUGUACUGAGCGUUUUGUGUCCAGUCCGGAGGAGGUGAUGGACGUCAUCGAUGAGGGCAAAAACAAUCGGCACGUGGCAGUGACGAACAUGAAUGAGCACAGCUCUCGCAGCCACAGCAUCUUCCUCAUCAACAUCAAGCAGGAAAACGUGGAGACGGAGAAGAAGCUGUCGGGGAAGCUCUACCUGGUCGACCUGGCGGGCAGCGAGAAGGUCAGCAAGACGGGAGCAGAGGGAGCCGUGUUGGAUGAGGCAAAGAACAUCAACAAAUCUUUGUCGGCGCUGGGAAACGUAAUUUCAGCUCUGGCCGAGGGAACAAAAACCCAUGUGCCGUACAGAGACAGUAAGAUGACUCGCAUCCUGCAGGACUCUCUGGGGGGAAACUGUCGCACCACCAUCAUCAUCUGCUGCUCGCCGUCCGUCUACAACGAGGCUGAGACCAAGUCCACACUCAUGUUUGGACAAAGAGCCAAGACCAUCAAGAACACGGUGUCGGUGAACCUGGAGCUGACGGCCGAGGAGUGGAAAAAGAAAUACGAGAAGGAGAAGGAGAAGAACAAGAGCCUGAAAAAUGCCAUGCAGAGGCUUGAAGUGGAACUGAACCGCUGGAGGAACGGGGAGAAAGUUCCUGAGGACGAGCAGCUGAGCUCUAAAGAUCAGAAGGGCGCCGAGCCAUAUGACAACACUCCCGUCAUCGACAACCUGCUGCCGCCCGGAGGAGGCGUCUUGCACCCAGCCAACGAGCGCAACCAAUACGAGGACGACGUCAGCAACCUCUACAAACAGCUGGAUGACAAGGAUGAUGAGAUCAACCAACACAGUCAGCUGGCAGAGAAACUCAAGGAGCAGAUGAUUGACCAGGAAGAGCUGCUGGCGUCUACGCGGCGUGACUACGAGAAGAUCCAGGAGGAGCUGUGUCGCCUGCAGACAGAAAACGAGCUGGCCAAGGAGGAGGUGAAGGAGGUGCUGCAGGCCCUGGAGGAGUUGGCCGUCAACUACGACCAAAAGAGCCAAGAGGUGGGGGAGAGAGACCUAGCCAAUCUGCAGCUGGUGGAGGAGCUGCAGCACAAGACGGCGUUGCUGUCAGCGGUGCAGAGCGAGCUGAGUCAGCUGCAGGAGCUGAGCGGCCUACAGAGGAAGAGAGCUGCCGAGGUCCUCAACCUAUUGCUGCGAGACCUCAGUGACAUUGGCACCAUCAUUGGCACCGGUGACGUGAAGACCACCGCGUCCUCCGAGACGAAGGGGAACGGCUUGGCGGUGGAGGAGGAGUUUACCGUGGCUCGCCUCUACAUCAGCAAGAUGAAGUCUGAGGUCAAGUCUCUGGUGAACCGCAGCAAGCAGCUGGAGAGCGCUCAGGCUGACACCCACCGCAAGAUCCAGGCCAAUGAGAAGGAGCUGGCGUCCUGUCAGUUGCUCAUCUCCCAGCACCAGGCCAAGAUCCGCUCUCUGACGGACUACAUGCAGAACAUGGAGCAGAAGAAGAGGCAGCUGGAGGAGAGUCAGGACGCUCUGACCGAAGAGCUCGCCAAACUGCAGGCUCAGGAGAAAAGACACGAGGUGUUGGGAGAGGAGAAGGAGGACAUCAGCAGACUGGAUAGAGACGAGGACAUCGAGAAAGCGCUGGAGGAGCAGUUGGAGAACCACCGGGAGGCUCAUCAGAAGCAGCUCAGCCGCCUUCGAGACGAGAUUGGAGACAAGCAGAGGAUGCUGGACCAACUCACAGAUCUAAACCAGGCUCUGCUACUGGAGCAGGAGAGACUCAUGUCGGACAUUGACAAACUGAAGGCCAAAGAGCAGGAGAAGGAUGAAAAGCUACAGAAACUCAUGAUGCUGAAUGAACAGAGGGAGCAGACCAGAGAGGACUUAAAGGGAUUGGAGGAGACAGUGGCUAAAGAGCUGCAGACUCUGCACAACCUGCGCAAAGUCUUUGUUCAGGACCUCACCACGCGGGUUCAGAAGAGUGCGGAGCUGGACUUUGAGGAGGGACUUGGCAACGUGGCCCAGAAACAGAAGAUCUCCUUCCUGGAGAACAACUUGGAACAGCUCACCAAGGUCCACAAGCAGCUGGUACGAGACAAUGCAGACCUGCGCUGCGAGCUGCCCAAGCUGGAGAAGCGUCUUCGGGCCACGGCCGAGCGAGUCAAAGCCCUGGAGAACGCCCUGAAGGAGGCCAAGGAGAACGCCAUGAGGGACCGCAAGCGCUACCAGCAGGAGGUGGACCGCAUCAAAGAGGCUGUGCGGGCCGAGAACAGGGCCAGGAGAGGCCACUCCGCACAGAUCGCGAAGCCCAUCCGACCAGGCCAUCAUCCACCGUCAUCCCCCAUCAGCAGCUCCAUCAGAGCCGGAGGCGUCUACACCCACAACAACUGACACCACAACAGCAAGUUAAACCUCCGGAAUAACUGCCGCAUGCUGAACCGCCCCACCUGGAACCACAAAACCCGCCCCUCCUUUUGGAGCACCAAUGGGAGGACAUCACGACAGACUGUCACCACUCAGAGAAGCAACAUCCAAACACCCUUAUAUAUAUAUAUAUAUAUAUAUAUAUAUAUAUACUAAUAUAAGAUGUAGACAUAUUUAAUUUGCUGAAUGUAGAUAUCAGAGGCCUCAUUUAGAAAAUAAACCAGCAUUCCUUCGUUUAUAAGAAUAGUUUGACAUUUUGAAAAAACACGCCUAUCUAUUAUCUUGCUGAAUGUUAGAUCUGAAGAUGUAUACCACUUCAUCCAACCAAUGUAAAGAAACAAGACAUGAGAGUGGAAUCAAUCUUCUCAUCGAACUAAAUAAGAAAAUACGAGUUUUUCCCAAAAUGUAAAACUAUUUCAAUUUGGGGGGGGGCAAUUUAUUCCAUUGCAGCUAAUGCCUUUAAGUUUUUCAUCCUGAUUAAGUUAAGGUUUGAGUUAUAGUUCAAGUGGAAGUGAAGUGCAGCCACUUUGUUAGGACAAAAACACAUAUUGACACACAGUUGGUUAAAUGGUUGAGUUCCUCACUUCUGAAAGGCCCUGGUUGCAUUCCUAUACUAACGCCUAAUAUCUAUGCUGAUACUGUGUUGUCUUUGGAGUUUUUGUCACUUUUUUGACAUUUCCCAAGUUACCGUUGCCUCCUACAUCUCUCUACUGGUGACAAUCAUAAAAAAAAUGAACACUACAAAUCUUUAAAAAAGAAUGUCCCCUACUGAGAUAUUUUAACAGUUGAAAGGGUUUGUGACUGGCUGUAUCAUGCUGUACUCCUGCAGGGACACUGACCAGCCAAUCAGGCGUCCCCAGGGCUCAGAACAGUACUACAGUCUGGUUUGUUAUGUUGCUACUACAACUAGGAGAGUCUUGUAAAGUUCUGCACUCAAGCUGUAAAGCUGCUGAUCAGCCAAUCAGAGACGUCAAUUACACAGAGUUCACGACAGACUAAUGAAUUUACCGGAAACUCUCACUCCGCCACACCUUGUGCCUUUUGAAACCCCUGAACUUAUAUUUUUACAGGUAAAAACAUCUUGCAAGGUUUUGCAGAAUAAUUUCCACUUCCUCUUUCCCCUCUACUCUAUAAUCAAAGAUACAUAAAUGUCUGUGCUGUUUUGUCUUCGUGCUGCCAGUUUAGCAUGUUCUUGAAUGCACAAUACUAUCUUGAGAUGAUACUUUUAGUUUCCGAGAGCGAUGACACAAAGGGGCGACAAAGCGUCAGCAUCAGUGGUAAAGUUUACGUGAUAUGCAGGUAUGAAAACGGCGUACACCCAUUAGGAAAGGUCGAGGAUUUCCAUUUACCCACUUAGAAAAGCAUGAGGAUAACGUUUUUUUGUGACUUUUGUUUGUGCUGCGAGUUGCAUAGGAACAAACGACACGGUGGCUUGGCGGUCAAUCUUUGCGCAAAUUUGAAAUUAACUAAUAGGAGAUGUACAGAACAAAUUUAACCUUAAGCUGCUCCUGAAGCUAUACUACCGCUUCUGGUGACCUUGCACCAGACGUUUACGUUAGAGAAACUACAGAAAAUGAUCCAGAUGAGGCGGAUGCUGUACCAGGGUUUUCCCGCCAUUUUAGUUCAAGUGCAAAACCCAAGCUGUGUUUGGGCAGCACCUAAAGCCAAAUGAAUACGACCAAAAGCAUUUUCUCAGAUAAAAUUACUAUAGUUGGACUUCUUUAGCAGCUUAUGUCUUUAAGCUUUUUGAGCGUUAGUUAAUUAUUAUCUGCUCUAGCUUUUCCAACGUUUUAGACAUGGAUAUGGAGAUAAUAACGGUCCAAAAUGAUGUGAAAAAGAGACAAAGGGACACAAACCGAUUACAAAGAGAUGAUAAAUGACCAUGGAGACCCACAACAACCCUAAAGGAAACAUAAAUGACCAAAAAGAGACAACACAACUAAAUAAAGAUGCAAAAACCCACAAAGAGAGAAAAUCCCACAAAGAGACACUAAAUUAUUGAAAAACCUCACAUUUUCUUGUUGAAGGACGCCCACCACCACCCCUUUCCCUGGCAAAUAUGCACACCUAAGUCUUCCUCAGAGUGAGGGAAAACCCUGUAUACACGGUUAACGUUGGAGAAAACGUAUGGGGUUGUCGCUCUGGGACGGGCGAGUAUAAAGCUGGGAGGGGGAAAAAAUGACAGUAUACUCACUACAAUAAAACCAGACGACACCCCACUGGGCAGGAUUGUUGCCAAAGAAUCUUGUGACCCGGAGCUUGAUUUUCAGCUUCUUUAUUUGAUGUUUGAUGGUUUUGAUUGUGGCUGUUUGGAGUGAAGCGGACAGCUGCUGUCACACUUAAUAUGACCAAUAAAUGAAUGUAAGUGCAUGGACUAGAGCUUGUGUUAAAGGCAUGCUCAGGGACAACGUGCAUUCACCUCAUCAUGAUGUACAUUUUGAGUUUGCUAAAAUGUCAUUUUAGUUCCCUUGUUUGUUUUGGCCGUUGCGUUAUAUCUUCUAAUAUACCUACAACUGAUGCAAUUAAAGCUAAUAAAAGAUAUAUCUAUUUAACUUU